UACGUAGGCAGCGAGCGUUGUUCGGAGUUACUGGGCGUAAAGAGUGCGUAGGCGGUUUUCUAAGUUUGGUGUGAAAUCUCCCGGCUUAACUGGGAGGGUGCGCCGAAAACUGGAAGGCUUGAGUAUGGGAGAGGUAAGCGGAAUUCCUGGUGUAGCGGUGAAAUGCGUAGAUAUCAGGAGGAACACCUGCGGUGUAGACGGCUUACUGGACCAUAACUGACGCUGAGGCGCGAAAGCUCGGGGAGCGAACGGG
rnacentral:rRNA from 1 species